GAUGAACGCUAGCGGCAGGCCUAAUACAUGCAAGUCGGACGGGAUCCAUCGGAGAGCUUGCUCGAAGAUGGUGAGAGUGGCGCACGGGUGCGUAACGCGUGAGCAACCUACCUCUAUCAGGGGGAUAGCCUCUCGAAAGAGAGAUUAACACCGCAUAAUAUAAUCUUCCGGCAUCGUUAGAUUAUUAAAUAUUUAUAGGAUAGAUAUGGCUCGCGUGACAUUAGCUAGUUGGUAAGGUAACGGCUUACCAAGGCGACGAUGUCCAGGGGCUCUGAGAGGAGAAUCCCCCACACUGGUACUGAGACACGGACCAGACGCCUACGGGAGGCAGCAGUAAGGAAUAUUGGUCAAUGGGCGGAAGCCUGAACCAGCCAUGCCGCGUGCAGGACGACUGCCCUAUGGGUUGUAAACUGCUUUUGUCCAGGAAUAAACCUAAAUACGUGUAUUUAGCUGAAUGUACUGGAAGAAUAAGGAUCGGCUAACUCCGUGCCAGCCGCCGCUGUAAAAC
rnacentral:rRNA from 1 species